CCUANGGGUGGCAGCAGUGGGGAAUUUUGCGCAAUGGGCGAAAGCCUGACGCAGCAACGCCGCGUGGAGGAUGAAGGCCUUCGGGUCGUAAACUCCUGUCGAUGGGGAAGAAGUUCUCGUAAGAGGAUUGACUGUACCCGUUGAGGAAGCCACGGCUAACUCCGUGCCAGCAGCCGCGGUAAUACGGAGGUGGCAAGCGUUGUUCGGAAUUACUGGGCGUAAAGGGCGCGUAGGCGGCUUUACAAGUCAGAUGUGAAAGCCCCGGGCUUAACCCGGGAACUGCAUCUGAAACUGAAACGCUUGAGUUCUGGAGGGGGUAGUGGAAUUCCCAGUGUAGCGGUGAAAUGCGUAGAUAUUGGGAGGAACACCGGCGGCGAAGGCGGCUACCUGGACAGUGACUGACGCUGAGGCGCGAAAGCUAGGGGAGCGAACGGGAUUAGAUACCCCANUANUC
rnacentral:rRNA from 1 species